rnacentral:rRNA from 1 species
GACGAACGCUGGCGGCGUGCCUAAUACAUGCAAGUCGAACGCUGAAGGAGGAGCUUGCUUCUCUGGAUGAGUUGCGAACGGGUGAGUAACGCGUAGGUAACCUGCCUGGUAGCGGGGGAUAACUAUUGGAAACGAUAGCUAAUACCGCAUAAUAGUAGAUGUUGCAUGACAUUUGCUUAAAAGUUGCAGUUGCAUCACUACCAGAUGGACCUGCGUUGUAUUAGCUAGUUGGUGGGGUAACGGCUCACCAAGGCGACGAUACAUAGCCGACCUGAGAGGGGGAUCGGCCACACUGGGACUGAGACACGGCCCAGACGCCUAAGGGAAGCAGCAGGAGGGAAACAUCGGCAAUGGACGGAAGUCUGACCGAGCAACGCCGCGUGAGGGAAGAAGGGUUUCGGAUCGGAAAGCUCGGUUGUAAGAGAAGAAAGAGUGUGAGAGUGGAAAGUUCACACUGUGACGGUAUCUUACCAGAAAGGGACGGCUAACUACGUG